rfam:Gossypium hirsutum cultivar TM-1 unplaced genomic scaffold scaffold516.1, whole genome shotgun sequence
UGUUAAAAUUUUCAUCCAUUUCUACCGUUAAAAACUGGCGUGGAUAACAGAAUAACCAGACAGUGACAUGUAGCAUGCCAUGUGUACCUCAUGCUGAUGUACAAGGACCAGUUUUUAACAAUAGAAAUGGAUGAAAUUUUUAACA